UGUCAAAUCAUCACGGCCCUUAUGUCUUGGGCUACACACGUGCUACAAUGGUCACUACAGUGGGCUGCCAUCUGGUGACAGAGAGCAAAUCCAUAAAGGUGAUCCCAGUUCGGAUCGGAGUCUGCAACUCGACUCUGCGAAGUUGGAUUCGCUAGUAAUCGUAUAUCAGCAAUGAUACGGUGAAUACGUUCCCGGGCCUU
rnacentral:rRNA from 1 species